rnacentral:rRNA from 1 species
AGCGUAUACGGUGGAUGCCUAGGCAGUUAGAGGCGAUGAAGGACGUGUAAGUCUGCGAAAAGUUGUGGGGAGCCGACAAAAUGCUUUGAUCCACAAAUAUCCGAAUGGGGAAACCCACCGCUUCGGCGGUAUUGUAACGUGAAUACAUAGCGUUAUGAGGCAAACGAGGGGAACUGAAACAUCUAAGUACCCUUAGGAAAAGAAAUCAACCGAGAUUCCCCUAGUAGCGGCGAGCGAACGGGGAUUAGCCCUUAAGCAAUUAUGAACGUAGUGGAAGCCUCUGGGAAGUGGCGCGAUACAAGGUGAUAGCCCUGUACACGAAGUGUUUGUUUUUGUGAAAUCGAGUAGGUCGGGACACGUGUUAUCUUGACUGAAUAUGGGGGGACCAUCCUCCAAGGCUAAAUACUCCUAACUGACCGAUAGUGAACCAGUACCGUGAGGGAAAGGCGAAAAGAACCCCUGUGAGGGGAGUGAAAUAGAACCUGAAACCGUGUACGUACAAGCAGUAGGAGCAGACUUGUUCUGUGACUGCGUACCUUUUGUAUAAUGGGUCAGCGACUUAUAUUUUGUAGCAAGGUUAACCGAAUAGGGGAGCCGUAGCGAAAGCGAGUGUUAACUGCGCGUUUAGUUGCAGGGUAUAGACCCGAAACCCGGCGAUCUACCCAUGGGCAGGUUGAAGGUUGAGUAACAUCAACUGGAGGACCGAACACACGUAUGUUGAAAAAUGCGGUGAUGACUUGUGGGUCGGAGUGAAAGGCUAAUCAAGCCGGGAGAUAGCUGGUUCUCCCCGAAAUCUAUUUAGGUAGAGCCUCGCACGAACACCAUUGGGGGUAGAGCACUGUUAAGGCUAGGGGGUCAUCCCGACUUACCAACCCUUUGCAAACUCCGAAUACCAAUGAGUGAUAUGCGGGAGACACACUACGGGUGCUAACGUCCGUUGUGAAGAGGGAAACAACCCAGACCGCCAGCUAAGGUCCCAAAGUACUAGUUAAGUGGGAAACGAUGUGGAAAGGCAUAGACAGCUAGGAGGUUGGCUUAGAAGCAGCCAUCCUUUAAAGAAAGCGUAAUAGCUCACUAGUCGAGUCGGUCUGCGCGGAAGAUGUAACGGGGCUAAACUAGUCACCGAAGCUGCGGAUUCAUAAUUUAUUAUGAGUGGUAGGGGAGCGUUCUGUAAGCCGUUGAAGGUGUGUUGUAAAGCAUGCUGGAGGUAUCAGAAGUGCGAAUGCUGACAUGAGUAACGAUAAGGGGAGUGAAAAACUCCCCCGCCGAAAGACCAAGGUUUCCUGUCCCAUGUUAAUCAGGGCAGGGUAAGUCGGCCCCUAAGGCGAGGCGGAAACGCGUAGUCGAUGGGAAACAGAUUAAUAUUUCUGUACUUCUAUAUAUUGCGAAGGAGGGACGGAGUAGGCUAGGUGAGCACGGCGUUGGUAGUCCGUGUGAAAGUAUGUAGGCGGUUGACUUAGGUAAAUCCGGGUCUUCAUUAACGCUGAGAUACGAGACGAGUGUCCAAGGACAUGAAGUCAUUGAUGCCAUGCUUCCAGGAAAAGCUUCUAAGCUUCAGAUAUAUAGGAACCGUACCCCAAACCGACACAGGUGGUUAGGUAGAGAAUACUAAGGCGCUUGAGAGAACUCGGGUGAAGGAACUAGGCAAAAUAGUACCGUAACUUCGGGAGAAGGUACGCUCUCUAAUGUGAAUGACUUGCUCAGUAAGCAUCGGAGAGUCGAAGUAACCAGGUGGCUGGAACUGUUUAUUAAAAACACAGCACUGUGCAAAAUCGAAAGAUGACGUAUACGGUGUGACGCCUGCCCGGUGCCGGAAGGUUAAUUGAUUGGGUUAGCUCUGCGAAGCUCAUGAUCGAAGCCCCGGUAAACGGCGGCCGUAACUAUAACGGUCCUAAGGUAGCGAAAUUCCUUGUCGGGUAAGUUCCGACCUGCACGAAUGGCGUAACGAUGGCCACACUGUCUCCACCCGAGACUCAGUGAAAUUGAAUUUGCGGUUAAGAUGCCGUAUACCCGCGGCUAGACGGAAAGACCCCGUGAACCUUUACUAUAGCUUGACAGUGAACAUUGCUCCUACAUGUGUAGGAUAGGUGGGAGGCUUUGAAACUUUGUCGCCAGAUGAAGUGGAGCCAACCUUGAAAUACCACCCUUGUAUGCGUGAUGUUCUAACCUAGGGCCCUAAUCGGGCUUGGGGACACUGUCUGGUGGGUAGUUUGACUGGGGCGGUCUCCUCCUAAAGAGUAACGGAGGAGCACGAAGGUUGGCUAAGUACGGUCGGACAUCGUACGGU